AUUAGUUCAUACCUAUGACGGGUAGCCGAAUGUGUAUAGAGAUCAUGUUAUAAAGCAAAUCAAAAUCAUGUUGUUUGUAUGUGGCUAUUGAGCCGAAAAUGGUAAUGGUUGAUAAGCGUCUUGUGUUUGAAUUCUAGUUAUGAUAAUGAAAUAUGGAUGUGUCAUGAUUUAUUGGUAUCUGUGCUUGAUUAUUUGGAUGAUAUCCGGGCUAAGUGUCGAAGGUAUUUCUGCAAGUUACUAUAUCCGGGUUAAGUCCCGAAGGCAUUUGUGCGAGUAGUUGCUAUACUCGGGCUAAGUCCCGAAGGCAUUUGUGCUAGUGACUAUAUCCGGGCUAAGUCUCGAAG
rnacentral:lncRNA from 1 species